CUGUGCUGUUUCCUACUACAGGACAAUAUUUUGGAGGUUAGUUGAUGAAGCAGAUGAAGAUAUUAUUUUUUAACUUUUGGACACCUGGAUUCAAAGCAAAAGUAAUUUUGCACUGUCAUCCAAGUUCUCAGCUGUCCAUUCUACAAAAUCUGGCAUAAAUAGCCUGUGGAGGGACCCAGGAUCUGCAGAGCAGAAUUCAGCAUCUCACUGUGCUUGCUGGUGGCUGCACAAAGACUGUAUCACUUCUCAUGGUCAUGUUUUUUUGGCUCAACAAGUUGACUUGGGUCAACAAAGGCUGUGAAGACCAAGGGAAGAAGCAGGACAGCACAGCCAGGCAAGAGGGAUGGCAAACAGAGCAUUGUCUCCUUUUAUGAAGGGAUCCCUUUCUGGCUCUGUGACGAAAUACUCACCGAUUUCACAAUGGAGGGAAUUCCCCACUCUGUGCUCAGGAGCCUGUGGCUGUGCAGCUUCCCACUGGGAUCCACGUGUCUGUCCAGGACAUCGACUCCAACCACGCUGGGGUUCAUGGGAUUUGGAUAUUUCCUCAUGGCAGCUGUGGUCACAGUUUCCCAGGGGUGGCUGACAAAACAGAAGCAGGACACAAACUUGUACACCUUCAGUUUUAACAGG